rnacentral:lncRNA from 1 species
GACUUUCUUAGCUAUAUUCAAUAAGCACACUCUCAGUUGUGAAGUCUGAACUGACCUUGCAGUUAGAAAUUUUAGUUUUGUGAUUAAUGUUCAUUCUGGUGGGAUUUUACUGGGUCGUCGUUGUUGUUGGCAAAUAAAGAAUUUGAUAAACAUAAUUCCAAAGAGAAGUACUUAGGACUCGUUUAGUAUGAAGGGAUAAGGAAUAAUUAAUCUCGGGACUAAAUUUAAGAAGAGUUUAUCCCAUGUUUGGUUGGGAGAAAAUUGUGGUACAAUUAAUCCCGGGAUUAGUUAUCCUGAGAUUGUAGUGAUUUUUUAUCCCUAUGGAAAGAUGGAAUAAUACUGGGUAAUACUGGGUAUGGUGGUGUUGUUGUUGUUUUUCGAAAGAUGGAAUAACUAAUUCCGAGAUGGCCCCGGUGGACGAGAAGAUGCGGGAAGCGAGGCUGAGGUGGUUCGGGCAUGUACGGAGGAGGGGUCCCGAUGACCCGGUGAGGAGCUGCGAGCGGCUGGAGAUUGCUGGUGGUCGGCGGGGUAGAGGGAGGCCUAAGAAGCAUUGGGGAGAGGUGAUUAGGCAGGAGCUGCGAGCGGCUGGAGAUUAUUGGUGGUCGGCGAGGUAGAGGGAGGCCUAGGAAGCAUUGGGGAGAGGUGUUAGGCAGGACAUGACUAGUAUGCAGGUUACCGAGGACUUGACCCUUGAUAGGGGAGUCUGGNNNN